CCUACGGGAUGCUGCAGUGGGGAAUAUUGGACAAUGGGCGAAAGCCUGAUCCAGCCAUGCCGCGUGUGUGAAGAAGGCCUUCGGGUUGUAAAGCACUUUCAGUGGGGAAGAAAGCCUUGGGGCUAAUACCCUCGAGGAAGGACAUCACCCACAGAAGAAGCACCGGCUAACUCCGUGCCAGCAGCCGCGGUAAUACGGAGGGUGCGAGCGUUAAUCGGAAUUACUGGGCGUAAAGCGCGCGUAGGCGGUCUGAUAAGCCGGUUGUGAAAGCCCCGGGCUCAACCUGGGAACGGCAUCCGGAACUGUCAGGCUAGAGUGCAGGAGAGGAAGGUAGAAUUCCCGGUGUAGCGGUGAAAUGCGUAGAGAUCGGGAGGAAUACCAGUGGCGAAGGCGGCCUUCUGGACUGACACUGACGCUGAGGUGCGAAAGCGUGGGUAGCAAACAGGAUUAGAUACCCCCUGUAGUC
rnacentral:rRNA from 1 species